AUUGCUUCUCGGCCUUUUGGCUAAGAUCAAAGUGUAGUAUCUGUUCUUGUUACGCUUGGGUUUUAGUUAAAAAUUAGAGUACUAGUAUCCGGCAUUUAUGCGUUUGCGAGAACGGCUCUAUUUAGUGCAACUAGUGGGCAUCGAGCUUUAGAAUUUCACUUCUAUUCCUGUUCCGGUGGAAAAGGU
rnacentral:snRNA from 1 species